CUACUUACCUUCCAGGGGAGACAUCAUAAUCUGGAAGAUGUUUUUCCCAGGAUGAGGUUCACCCAUUGUACUCAGGUUGUUCUGACCCCUAUGAUUGCCACAAAUUUGAGAAACUCAACUGUGAAAACUGUAUAAUUUCUGUAGUGAGAUAUUCACUCUGUCUGAAC